rnacentral:rRNA from 1 species
AUGACCAUAAACAAGAGUCAAGGGCAAAUCUUAAAUAGAGUUGGAGUCUAUUUGCCAUCUCCAGUGUUCUCUCAUGGUCAAUUAUAUGUAGCAUUUUCCAGAGUUACUUCACCAAAGGGGUUGAGAGUUCUAAUCGAAAAUAGUCCAGUUUCUUAUGAGAAUUGCACCCAUAAUGUAGUCUAUGUUGAAGUUUUUAGUCAAAUUAAUAGACUACGAAGUUGA